CCUACGGGCGUCAGCAGUGAGGAAUAUUGGUCAAUGGACGAGAGUCUGAACCAGCCAAGUAGCGUGAAGGAUGACUGCCCUAUGGGUUGUAAACUUCUUUUAUAUGGGAAUAAAACGUUCCACGUGUGGGAUUUUGUAUGUACCAUAUGAAUAAGGAUCGGCUAACUCCGUGCCAGCAGCCGCGGUAAUACGGAGGAUCCGAGCGUUAUCCGGAUUUAUUGGGUUUAAAGGGAGCCUAGGCCGAUUGUUAAGUCAGUUGUGAAAGUUUGCGGCUCAACCAUAAAAUUGCAGUUGAAACUGGCAGUCUUGAGUACAGUAGAGGUGGGCGGAAUUCGUGGUGUAGCGGUGAAAUGCUUAGAUAUCACGAAGAACUCCGAUUGCGAAGGCAGUUCACUGGACUGCAACUGACACUGAGGCUCGAAAGUGUGGGUAUCAAACAGGAUUAGAUACCCCUGUAGUC
rnacentral:rRNA from 1 species